CUCAGGAAAUUAUCUUUCUCAGACAGGAGCAGCAUUGACUGGGCUCUAGGGAGAUCCAGUGCCUGCUGCCCAAUUUCCGUUUGGUUUUCUUCCUUUUUUCCUCCCUCUCUCCCUCCCUCUCUCUAUCUCUCUUUCUUUAUUUCUUGAGAGAGAGAGAGAGACUCUCUCAUGACUGUGAGAUAAUGACCUGAGCCAAAAUCAAGAGUCAGAUGCUUAACUGACUGAGCUACCCAGGUGCCCCUCCAUUUGAUUUUCUAAGGAGGAAAUGUUUGUUACUCGCUAAUACUUAGGUCGAUGCUAUUGAGGAAUAUAAUAGAGAGAUGGAGAAUGAACUAGGAUUCAUAGUGAGUGGGAAUGUGUGCCUCUUCUGGACAGAGCAAGCAUUUGGAAUAGAACACAUUUGGAAGGCCCUAUUUGAAAGGUUAUUUCUUGGGGCUUUUCUGAGAGAGCUGCACUUUUUAACUUAGAAAACAAUAAAAAAAUAUAGGCAGUUUGUGGUGAAAGCAGAACAAUGGGUGGAACCCCAAAUUAACACUUGGGGCUGUCUUAACUUGGGGAUCUCAGGGACAGCACAGAUCCUUAGGAAUGUCUUUCUUUGCCAGUGACCUCAUGUGUUUAUUUAACUGUCCAGCUGAGGGCUCACCCUGACAGUUCAGCAACUAAGCAGAGUCUGCCCAUUUAGGGUGACAAUUCAGACCUAAGAAAGGGAGAGCUGUCCCACAGGGCUGCAGGAAGACUAUUCAGGGACCUUCUGCUUUUCAGGAUUUUUCUUUUUUUAUCCUUUUCUUCUUUCUCUCAUCGCAAGCUGCUGGUGAUUGAGCUCUCGUCCUUGUAUUCCGUGACUGUGCUCGAAAGGACUUGCAACUGUGCAAAAGUUGGCAACAGGCAGUUGCUGCCCUCCAGGGAAGGGCCAAGAGGCCUUGGGGUGGAGGGGAUUUCAGCAAAACAUCUUCCAGAAGCUGCAUUUGUUUCCCUCACAGAGGCGAACAGGAAAGGUGGAAAGGGACAGCCAGGUGAGGGCGAUUUCUGCUUUUCAUUUGAUCACUCUCCACACUGUUCGGAUAGGUUACCUCAUGUAGGUGUUGCUUUUUAAUGGAAAUUUUAAGAAAAGACAAAUUUAAUGAGAACAAACUAAAUCAUACGGACUUUACCUACUCUAUUUUCUAGGAUGCAAGAAAAAGGGCUUCACUUUCUAGCUGUGUGGACUUUGGCAAAUUGUUUAAGUUUUCUGUGGCCCAUUACCUCAUCUGGAAAAUAGGAUUAAUGGCAUCAAUGAAUGGCAUCGUGGAGCGAGUGUGGGGAUUCGAUGACAAAAGGUGUGUAAAGUGCUAACAGCGGUCAUCACAAGCGCUCCAUCAUGCCGGCUAUCACUGGUAUUGUCCAAAUUCCGUUCUAACACAGAACUCAGCAAUUUGGGCUUGUUUGUCCUAAAAUCAGUGCCUCAUGGUCAUGGCAAGUGACCACAGCAUCUGGAGCUGUGAUGGAUGAUGAUGGUGGUGGUGGCGGUAGUGGUGGAUAGAUAGUUCCUGAACAUCCAGCCCAUCAGAAGUGGGGAAAGGAGCAGAUGUUUGAGACUGAAGCCAUAGGAACGGGCAGAAGGCAAGGUUGAUGGGGUCACAAACACACCUGUCAUCAUCUUAGUAGAAUAAAUUAUCUGCCUUUCAACA
ensembl:lncRNA